CCCAAAGCACCAGCUAGAUAUGGAGAUACAGGCACAGAAUUAGCAUAUAGAAAGGGAGACCAAAUGAUGAUAUCUUUGUGGCCCUGGUAACUCCUAGGCAGCUCAGUUGCAAGGGUUAUUUGUUGGUUACGGUAGGAAGCAUAAAUAUCAAGCUUUUCAUGGUAAAUGCCAAUCCUCUCAUUGGGAUUUUUGGUGGAUAUGGUGACCUGAAUGUGACUAGUUAGGCAAUUUGAGCCUGAAAGGCUCAAGUCAUUAACUGUAGCAUCCUGGAGGAUGAAAGCGGGCUUUUUGGGCUGGAGAAUGGCCCAUACCAGUAAGAUCACCAAGGCGAUGACGCCAACUAUAGCAAUGACCGACCAGAAUAUCCGGAGACAGAGCUUCUUCCCUUCGUGGUGAUGGCCGCAGUUCUUUUCACACAUGGCAAUUGGAGUGGGACUUUGAGAUAAUUACUAGCUGUCACAACUGUAGCUGCAUAAACUCGAGGCAAAGAGAAGGUGAAGAAAUUACGGGCAUGGAUGAUGAAGAGAUGAGUGGUGCUUUAUAUAUAACGUAAUAGAGAGCGCGAUUUGAUUUGACGUUGUUAUUGUCCAUGUAUUU
rnacentral:misc_RNA from 1 species